UAAAGUGCGAUAUCUAGUGCGAUUUGCAUGAAUCUGUGAGUCAUCGAGUCUUUGAACGCAACUUGCACCUCUUGGGCAACCAAGAGGUAUGUCUGUUUGAGUACCUAAUCCCCAUCUUGUCUCUAGUUAGAGGCAGACUUGAGGUCCUAGCUCUCUUAGUUGAGGGGUAGACCUUUAAAUGGAGCAAGCUAAAGGUAUUGAAGACCUUGGCUAUGUGCUAGAGACCAGGUCGGUCUUGUCAUAACCAAGAGCCUUUGUGCCUAGCUCUCUCUGGGAGCAACCUUUUGAAAAGGUCUCAAAUCAGUCAAGACUACCCGCUGAACUUAA
rnacentral:misc_RNA from 1 species